rnacentral:lncRNA from 1 species
GAUUGAAUACAUAAUGGCAAACAAAAAAUAGUAAUAUGCAACUAAGUGACAAUGCUUUUGGUCUUUAAUCACGAACUAUCUGUAAUCGAUCGAAACAUAACUAGAAGUACUAUGGGUCAAUAUACAUAAUUAGAGGUACUAGCUAUCUAUGCAUUUUUUUUAUUUAUUCUUGCAAAUCCUGUGAAUAGUCAAAAGUUAAAUAGGGAAACUUCAAAUAUUAAAGGAAAGUUGAAGAAUUCAAAAGUUGGUUUCGGGUUUCAUAUGGUUGAUUAACAUUUUAUACUCAUUUAAAAGAUUUAUUCACUGUCUUCUUCUUUGGACAGAUUGGCCAUGUUGUAAAAAAUCUGAAACAUUUAUGAUAAAAAAUAAGUUGAAUUUGUUACCUUUU